UACGAAGGGGGCUAGCGUUGUUCGGAAUUACUGGGCGUAAAGCGCGCGUAGGCGGCGACCUUUGUCAGAGGUGAAAGCCCGAGGCUCAACCUCGGAACUGCCUUCGAUACUGCGGGUCUCGAGUCCGGGAGAGGUGAGUGGAAUUCCUAGUGUAGAGGUGAAAUUCGUAGAUAUUAGGAAGAACACCAGUGGCGAAGGCGGCUCACUGGCCCGGUACUGACGCUGAGGCGCGAAAGCGUGGGGAGCAAACAGG
rnacentral:rRNA from 1 species